rnacentral:rRNA from 1 species
UAAGGAAUAUUGCUCAAUGGGAGAAAUCCUGAAGCAGCAACGCCGCGUGGAGGAUGAAGGGUUUUUAACUUGUAAACUCCUGUAAAGAAGGAAAAAAUUCCCAUUAGAUGGGAAAUGAUGGUACUUCUGGAGUAAGCCCCGGCUAACUACGUGCCAGCAGCCGCGGUAAUACGUAGGGGGCAAGCGUUGUCCGGAUUUACUGGGUGUAAAGGGUGCUCAGGCGGAUUUGUAAGUCAGAGGUGAAAUCUCACAGCUUAACUGUGAAACUGCCUUUGAUACUGCAAGCCUAGAGUAUGGAAGAGAGUGAUGGAAUAUCUGGUGUAGCAGUGAAAUGCGUAGAUAUCAGAUAGAACACCAAUGGCGAAGGCAGUCACUUGGUCCAUAACUGACGCUAAAGCACGAAAGCGUGGGUAGCAAACAGGAUUAGAUACCCUGGUAGUCCACGCCCUAAACGAUGAAUACUAGAUGUUGGCUUCGCAUGAAGUCAGUAUCUGAGCUAACGCAUUAAGUAUUCCACCUGGAAGUACGAUCGCAAGGUUGAAACUUAAAUGAAUUGACGGGGUCAUAGCUGUUUCCUG